UACGAAGGGGGCUAGCGUUGUUCGGAAUUACUGGGCGUAAAGCGUGCGUAGACGGUAGCGUAAGUCAGAUGUGAAAGCCCCGGGCUCAACCUGGGAAUUGCAUUUGAGACUGCUCUGCUCGGGUGCGGAAGAGGGAAGCGGAAUUUCCGGUGUAGCGGUGAAAUGCGUAGAUAUCGGAAGGAACACCAGUGGCGAAAGCGGCUUCCUGGUCCGACACCGACGUUCAGGCACGAAAGCGUGGGGAGCAAACAGG
rnacentral:rRNA from 1 species